AUUGAACGCUGGCGGCACGCUUAACACAUGCAAGUCGAACGGCAGCGGGGGGAGCUUGCUCCCUGCCGGCGAGUGGCGAACGGGUGAGUAACGCGUAGGGAUCUGCCUGUUAGAGGGGGAUAAGCCGUGGAAACGCGGUCUAAUACCGCAUACGCUCUAAGGAGGAAAGUAUGGGACCGAAAGGCCAUACGCUAACAGAUGAACCUGCGUUAGAUUAGCUAGUUGGUAGGGUAAAGGCCUACCAAGGCGACGAUCUAUAGCUGGUCUGAGAGGAUGGCCAGCCACACUGGAACUGAGAUACGGACCAGACUCCUACGGGAGGCAGCAGUGGGGAAUAUUGGACAAUGGGGGCAACCCUGAUCCAGCGAUGCCGCGUGUGUGAAGAAGGCCUGAGGGUUGUAAAGCACUUUAGUUGGGGAGGAAAGCCUGAGGAUGAAUAAGCCUUAGGGGAGACGUUACCCAAAGAAUAAGCACCGGCUAACUCUGUGCCAGCCACCGCCGUAA
rnacentral:rRNA from 1 species